rnacentral:misc_RNA from 1 species
UCUACUUUCUCCGUCAUAUAAAAGACCAACCUGGUAUCGAAUGUGACACAUUCUAGUACUACGAAUCCGGACAUAUAUCUGUCUAGAUUCAUAGUACUAUAAUAUGUCACAUCCAGUACUAGAUUCGUUUUUUUAUGGGACAUGGAGUUA